rnacentral:rRNA from 1 species
UAUCAAUAAGCGGAGGAAAAGAAACCAACAGGGAUUGCCUUAGUAACUGCGAGUGAAGCGGCAAAAGCUCAAAUUUGAAAUCUGGCGCCUUCGGCGUCCGAGUUGUAAUUUGGAGGGACAUCUUCGGGGCUGGCGCCGUCCUAAGUUCCUUGGAACAGGACGUCACAGAGGGUGAGAAUCCCGUGCCUGGGCGGAUGCCCAGCUCCAUGUGAAGUGUCUCCGACGAGUCGAGUUGUUUGGGAAUGCAGCUCAAAAUGGGUGGUAAAUUUCAUCUAAAGCUAAAUAUUGGCGAGAGACCGAUAGCGCACAAGUAGAGUGAUCGAAAGAUGAAAAGCACUUUGAAAAGAGAGUUAAAAAGUACGUGAAAUUGUUGAAAGGGAAGCGCUUGCGACCAGACUCGACCUUUGGCGAUCAGCCGGGCUUCGGCUCGGUGCCAUCGCCAUUGGUUGGGCCAGCAUCGGUUCUGACGGUGGGAUAAAAGGCGAAGGAAUGUGGCCUCCUUCGGGGGGUGUUAUAGCCUUCGUCACAAUGCCGCCAGUCGGGACCGAGGACCGCGCUUCGGCUAGGAUGCUGGCGUAAUGGUCUUAAGCGACCCGUCUUGAAACACGGACCAAGGAGUCUAACAUCUAUGCGAGUGUUCGGGUGGAAAACCCUUGCGCGUAAUGAAAGUGAACGGAGGUGGGAACCCCUUCGGGGUGCACCAUCGACCGGUCCUGACGUCUUCUGAAGGAUCUGAGUAAGAGCAUAGCUGUUGGGACCCGAAAGAUGGUGAACUAUGCCUGAAUAGGGUGAAGCCAGAGGAAACUCUGGUGGAGGCUCGCAGCGGUUCUGACGUGCAAAUCGAUCGUCAAAUUUGGGUAUAGGGGCGAAAGACUAAUCGAACCAUCUAGUAGCUGGUUCCUGCCGAA